GAGCCCAGAGCAGACAGAACCCAAGAGCAGAACAGUCAGAACAAACCAAGCGAACAGCCGCAAAAAGUCACAGCUAAUAACCUAACCCAAUGCCUUCGGUUCGCAUUUAUCUUUAUGAGGAAUGGGGUUAUUGGAAACGCAGCAGAUAACAGACAAAGUAUGGGGAGCAGUGCGGAGUACGUUUACGAGUCAUUUGCAAUAUCUCUCCCAAGCUGAUACGCUCGCUUAAAUUAGUUGUUUAUGUAACACAUAUAUUUCUGUUAUUAUUAAAACGAGAUUUCCAACUGCAUUUGCACACAAUUAAGCGCAGUAAUUUAUGAUAAAUUGCAAUUUAAUCAGAAGAAUAAAAUAUAAUCGACGGCACAAGACAAAAGCCCACAUUGAAAGCCACAGUCACAGCCACAGCUACAGUCAAAGCCAAACCCAAAAAUCGAUUUCAGGUUCAACAAACAGUGGAACUAAUUUGCAGAAACCAAAAGAAGGAAUUAUUAUCGGGAUUUUGCCAAUGAUACUUGCGGCUUAUACCCGUAUUGAUCCCCCCAAAGCCGUCAACCGGCUGUCGAGUGUGUGUCGCGGCAUGAAGCGUAUCGGAUAUGAUUGAACGUAUAAUUAAUGGUCGAGGGAUUAGCGACAAGUACAAGCCACACAUAUAUUGGAUGCUGUACUGCCGCUGGCAACAAAUUAAUCAACACAUGCGAUACGAUACGAGUACGAGGCGGGUGUGUGGGUGUCUAGACCAAAUGGAGAGACACGUAGAGAUGUGGAGUGGUAGCACAAAGCAACUGGAGCUGGUUCUGAAAGGAGUUUGGCCCCAGAGCAAACAUAAGUCAAUCCAUCAAGGCCACCAUAAGUUGGGGGGCAACUUAUCAGAUUCGAUAUCCUUACCAGCGCAUGAUGUAAGCCUUUUUCCGUCUGUCUCGUUUUGAGUUGAAUAAAUCCGAGAACAACAAGACGUUUCACUUAAUAAUUUCAUAACCUGUUCAGCAUUAAGGUUCAUUUCAUUGUGGUAAUCAUAUGCAAAACAUCGGGCAAAUGAACUUCCCACCUGAUUCUAAAAAUAAUCUCCUGCAUAUUUCCGAUGACACUUCGACUAUAAUUAGAGCUUCAUUCAAAAAAAACACAUUUUUAAUAUUCAUAUAAGCAUAACAAUGACAAAUUAAAGGAAAAUGAAUUCCCCGAAACAGGAAAAACAUAUACAAAUACACAGUUAACGACGAUUGAAACCAGGAAAGACAAGAUAGACGACAAAAAAAAA